GGGUUGUGAGGUUAAGCGACUAAGCGUACACGGUGGAUGCCCUGGCAGUCAGAGGCGAUGAAGGACGUGCUAAUCUGCGAUAAGCGUCGGUGAGGUGAUAUGAACCGUUAUAACCGGCGAUUUCCGAAUGGGGAAACCCAGUGUGUUUCGACACACUAUCAUUAACUGAAUCCAUAGGUUAAUGAGGCGAACCGGGGGAACUGAAACAUCUAAGUACCCCGAGGAAAAGAAAUCAACCGAGAUUCCCCCAGUAGCGGCGAGCGAACGGGGAGGAGCCCAGAGCCUGAAUCAGUGUGUGUGUUAGUGGAAGCGUCUGGAAAGGCGUGCGAUACAGGGUGACAGCCCCGUACACAAAAAUGCACAUAUUGUGAGCUCGAUGAGUAGGGCGGGACACGUGGUAUCCUGUCUGAAUAUGGGGGGACCAUCCUCCAAGGCUAAAUACUCCUGACUGACCGAUAGUGAACCAGUACCGUGAGGGAAAGGCGAAAAGAACCCCGGCGAGGGGAGUGAAAAAGAACCUGAAACCGUGUACGUACAAGCAGUGGGAGCCUCUUAAUGGGGUGACUGCGUACCUUUUGUAUAAUGGGUCAGCGACUUAUAUUCUGUAGCAAGGUUAACCGAAUAGGGGAGCCGAAGGGAAACCGAGUCUUAACUGGGCGUUAAGUUGCAGGGUAUAGACCCGAAACCCGGUGAUCUAGCCAUGGGCAGGUUGAAGGUUGGGUAACACUAACUGGAGGACCGAACCGACUAAUGUUGAAAAAUUAGCGGAUGACUUGUGGCUGGGGGUGAAAGGCCAAUCAAACCGGGAGAUAGCUGGUUCUCCCCGAAAGCUAUUUAGGUAGCGCCUCGUGAAUUCAUCUCCGGGGGUAGAGCACUGUUUCGGCAAGGGGGUCAUCCCGACUUACCAACCCGAUGCAAACUGCGAAUACCGGAGAAUGUUAUCACGGGAGACACACGGCGGGUGCUAACGUCCGUCGUGAAGAGGGAAACAACCCAGACCGCCAGCUAAGGUCCCAAAGUCAUGGUUAAGUGGGAAACGAUGUGGGAAGGCCCAGACAGCCAGGAUGUUGGCUUAGAAGCAGCCAUCAUUUAAAGAAAGCGUAAUAGCUCACUGGUCGAGUCGGCCUGCGCGGAAGAUGUAACGGGGCUAAACCAUGCACCGAAGCUGCGGCAGCGACACUAUGUGUUGUUGGGUAGGGGAGCGUUCUGUAAGCCUGUGAAGGUGGCCUGUGAGGGUUGCUGGAGGUAUCAGAAGUGCGAAUGCUGACAUAAGUAACGAUAAAGCGGGUGAAAAGCCCGCUCGCCGGAAGACCAAGGGUUCCUGUCCAACGUUAAUCGGGGCAGGGUGAGUCGACCCCUAAGGCGAGGCCGAAAGGCGUAGUCGAUGGGAAACAGGUUAAUAUUCCUGUACUUGGUGUUACUGCGAAGGGGGGACGGAGAAGGCUAUGUUGGCCGGGCGACGGUUGU
rnacentral:rRNA from 1 species